rnacentral:rRNA from 1 species
GAUGAACGCUGGCGGCGUGCUUAACACAUGCAAGUCGAACGGAAAGACCCUGCCUUUGUGGGGUGCUCGAGUGGCGAACGGGUGAGUAACACGUGAGUAACCUGCCCUUGACUUUGGGAUAACUCUAGGAAACUGGGGCUAAUACCGGAUAGGACCUCCUGCUGCAUGGUGUGGGUUGGAAAGUUUCGGCGGUUGGGGAUGGACUCGCGGCUUAUCAGCUUGUUGGUGGGGUAGUGGAUUACCAAGGCGUCGACGGGUAGCCGGCCUGAGAGGGUGAACGGCCACAUUGGGACUGAGAUACGGCCCAGACUCCUACGGGAGGCAGCAGUGGGGAAUAUUGCACAAUGGGCGGAAGCCUGAUGCAGCGACGCCGCGUGCGGGAUGACGGCCUUCGGGUUGUAAACCGCUUUCGCCUGUGACGAAGCGUGAGUGACGGUAAUGGGUAAAGAAGCACCGGCUAACUACGUG